rnacentral:rRNA from 1 species
UACGUAGGGUGCGAGCGUUAAUCGGAAUUACUGGGCGUAAAGCGUGCGCAGGCGGUGAUGUAAGACAGAUGUGAAAUCCCCGGGCUCAACCUGGGAACUGCAUUUUUGACUGCAUCGCUGGAGUGCGGCAGAGGGGGAUGGAAUUCCGCGUGUAGCAGUGAAAUGCGUAGAUAUGCGGAGGAACACCGAUGGCGAAGGCAAUCCCCUGGGCCUGCACUGACGCUCAUGCACGAAAGCGUGGGGAGCAAACAGG